rnacentral:rRNA from 1 species
CCUACGGGAGACUGCAGUGAGGAAUAUUGGUCAAUGGACGAGAGUCUGAACCAGCCAAGUAGCGUGAAGGAUGACUGCCCUAUGGGUUGUAAACUUCUUUUAUAGGGGAAUAAAACGUUCCACGUGUGGGAUUUUGUAUGUACCAUAUGAAUAAGGAUCGGCUAACUCCGUGCCAGCAGCCGCGGUAAUACGGAGGAUCCGAGCGUUAUCCGGAUUUAUUGGGUUUAACGGGAGCGUAGGUGGAUUGUUAAGUCAGUUGUGAAAGUUUGCGGCUCAACCGGAAAAUUGCAGUUGAAACUGGCCGUCUUGAGUACAUUAGAGGUGGGCUGAAUUCGUGGUUUAGCGGUGCAAUGCUUAGAUCUCACGA